CUACAAGACAAAAACAAAAUAAGUCAUUAUGCAAUAGGUAUACAUUGACAAACCACUUAUCCUUUCCACCCAAAAGAUGAAAUCCUAUUGCACACAUGCAGUCUGUAGCAUGACUGUCUUUCAGUGUGCAAGAAAACAUGCUUUACUUUCAGCUUCUAACAACUGCAUCCGCAUAGGUGGCAGGCACUGCAAGACUCAGCC